rnacentral:rRNA from 1 species
AUGCCGAGGAAAGAGAGGCGGUCAGGUGUGGCAUACAUCCAGAAUGACAAAGACCGUGAUCUCACCUUCUACAAGCGACGUUCCGGUUUGUUCAAGAGGGCGUCUGACAUCUCUGCCCUUACUAGGGCUAGGGUUGCAGUCGUCCUAGAGACAAAGAAUGGAAAGAUGCACUCAUUUGGGACGCCAUUGGCCGAUCCCAUUGUUGAUGCUUUCCUAUUUGGAGCUCCACCAGCAGUUCCCUCCACCAAUGAGGCAACCACUGCUAGGAUUGGAAGCCUACAAAACGAGGUGGCUCAGUUGGACAUGGAGAACAUGACCGAGGAAGACCGAAAGAAACUUUCCAUCCUUCGUAUGAAAAGUAUCCAAGAAGAGAAUCCAAGUAUGGUGGCAAAUCUUAUCUUCACGAAGGAACAAGAUCUCGGUCUUGAAGCUCUAAAUAAGCUCUUCAGUGAGCUCUCUCGGGUCCAAAAAGACAUUAGAUGCCGUCUACCUCCAUUGCAUGGUCGUGAAGCCAAGACCAGUGGCACAUGUGUAGCACAAGAUCUGCAAGUACCAAGUGUUCUGCCGACAGAUCAUUUGGGUACUACUCAUUCACUAAUGCAUCCAUCGUGGCCUCACAAUCUCUUACAACUCCAGCCACCUGCAGAUCCACUACCAUCACAACCAGAACAAACUUCGGUACCACUUUUUCCUAUGCAGGUACCACAAAUGUUUGACUUUGCGCCACCAUCUUUAGCUCCACACUUGGCUUCCCAUGUCCAACCCAUACCAAAUCAGGUACAUGAGCAAACUCAACCCGAGGAGUUGCAUGUUCAGAACUAUGAAAGUCCUUGCAACAUAGUGCAACCACAACAAAGUGAUGCAAACCACGACUCAACGUCAGGGCAUAAUUUGGAGGCCUCUCCACUAUUUGGGUACUCGAGUGGCAAUGCUUUUUCUAUUGAUGACCCAUUUAACACUGAACAAUGGGGUCAUGCUCUAUCAGAUCAGUCGUUCUACAAUAGUUUCCUAGGGAUGGAUGAUUACUUAGGCUCUAGCGGUACUGAUCUAGGAUAG